rfam:Fukomys damarensis contig56992, whole genome shotgun sequence.
AAUGGACCUGAGUAGGGAGGUAUGUGAAGAAGGUUCUAGAAGACCUUGUGAUGGUCCUCAUGAAGCUCAGUGAGGAGAGCUUACUGGAACAGCAGAGAGAGAAAGGGG